rnacentral:tRNA from 1 species
GCCUGCGUGGCCUAAUGGAUAAGGCGUCUGACUUCUAAUCAGAAGACUGCCGGUUCGACCCCGGACUUGGCU